AUGCAGCUGAGUAGUAUUGCAGCAUUUAUAAUGCCAGCAUUAAAAUACAUAGGUUUGGAUUAACAAUUACAAAUGUUUUUGGGAGGGAACUGUGAUCCAAAAGAGACUUCCCACUUUGGGGAAAGGAUAGGGCAGUGAUUUAUCCUGAAAACUUUCUUGGAACUUUAAUGCCGGUUCCUAUGUUCUACAAACUUCUGUUUUGUUCAGAGAUAGCACUCUUCAUUGCAAAACAAACAGGGAAUGGAGAAAAUUGUCACUCCUCCCUCUUUUUGUACAGCAAGGAUUUUCUAAAUGCAAUGCUGUAUUCAAACCAUUCAUUGUGUGCGUGUGUGCGUGCGUGUGUGUGUGUGUUUAUUUUUAUAGAGCUUUCCCAUAUUUGAGUAAUAUUAACAGCAACGCAGUGACAAAUGAGGAAGAAAGGCAGUAGAAGCAGAGCCAAUAAUCUUCAGACCUAGGAUUUCCUAGUGGUCUUCUACCCAUAUAUUAGCUGGAUCUGACCUCAUUUAGUUUUCUCAAGAGUCUUCAAGAUCAGCUUCAUUCUGCCAUAUGUUAUAAUGGGCCUGAAUAAGUAUGAUUAAGUCUAGUUUAUUGUCCAGUAUAAAUUUAUCAAUCUAUAUACAGUACAAAUCUGUAUAUUGUCCACAUCAAUUGAUAGUUUGUAAAAUUUAGGCCUGACCCUGAGUUUUCCAAUAUAAGCACAAAAUCAGUCAGAGUUCCUGGGCAGCAUGACAGAGAAUGAGAAAGACGUUGCCCUUGUCAAUGUUAUCAGUCAACAUUAAUUGUUCCUUCCCAAUAUUCAUUUGCAGAACUCUUGCUCAUAAUAUUAUUUAUACAUUCUUUUUAUUGAAUACACUACCCCAUUGACACCUUCUGAACAGUAAAUUAGCUCUGUUUGAUCUGAUUGCAUACUUUUGCUCUAUUUCAAUAGGUAAAGGUAAAGGUUUCCCUUGACAUUAAGUCCAGUCAUGUCUGACUCUAGGGGGCGGUGCUCAUCUCCGUUUCAAAGCCGAAGAGCCAGCGUUUGUCCGUAGACACUUCCGUGGUCAUGUGGCUGGCAUGACUACACGGAACGCCGUUACCUGCCCGCCGAAGCGGUACCUAUUAAUCUACUCACAUUUGCAUGUUUUCGAACUUCUAGGUUGGCAGGAGCUGGGACUAGCAACAGGAGCUUACCCCGUCGCGCGGAUUCGAACCGCCGACCUUCCAAUCGGCAAGCUCAGCAGCUCAGCGGUUUAACCCACAGCGCCACCAAGUCCCUAUUUCAAUACAUAAACUAAACACAAAAAACCCUGAACAGGAAACAAUAUAGAACAAUGGAAUUUUCCUAAAUUUCAAAAAAAGUACUAGUGCUAUUUCUUCUCAGUUUCAUGAUAUCCAAGUAAAGCAUCCAAAUGAGAACAAAAACACACCCUUGAAAAUAGCAAUUUGUUAAAAGUUGUGAACCCUGAUUGGGUUUGUUUGUUUUUUUGGAUCCACUUGACUGCAAAACUGUUUCUGGUACCUCUUGUUUCCCUUAAUAGUGAUGAAGCCAAUCAUAAAACUUAGGCAGUUUCAUCUGAGACUACAGGUAGUCCUCAAUUUACAAUAGCAGUUGGGACCAGAAUUUCCAUCGCUAAGAAAUGCGGUCAUAAAAUGCAACCACAUUGCUUAACAACAACAGUCCCUGCAAUCCCGGUUGCUAUUGUUAACUGAAUCCCACAGUUGUUAGGCAAGGCAACUUCCUGCUGGCUUGACACAACCAAAGUCAGUGGGGAAGCUGACAGGAAGUUGCAAGUCCCAGGCUGGCAGGCAUGUAAGUGGGUGGUGCCAGAUGGAGGAAGGUGUGAGGGGGUGCAUGAAAGGCACAAUCAGGGAGGGUAUGAGGGGUGCAUGAGUGGCCAACAUGGCGCAAGCACAGAAGGGCUGGGGGAGGGUGUGCAGGUGUGGGAGACUUACCCCAGCGACUUGUGACCUUCCCUGCUGGCUUCCCCAUUGACUUUCUGGGAAAGCCAGCAGGUAAGGUUGCAUAUGGCGAUCAUGUGAACACAGGGCACUGCAACCGGUCAUAAGUGUAAACUGGUUGCCAAGUGCCCAGAUCAUGAUCACAUGUCUACGGGGGUGCUGGAGUGGCCAGAACUCCAAGGACCGAUUGUAACCACCAUUGGCUUAGUGCUGUCAUAACUUUGAACAAUCGCUGAACAAAUGGUCAUAGGUUGAAGGCUAUCUGUAAUAAUAAUAAUAAUAAUAAUAAUCAGUGCUCAGGCUGAUCACUUAAUCAGGGCUAUGCAGUGUUUCAGAUUUGGCGGGAAAAAACCCUUCAGAGAGAUUUAUGAAUGAACGAAUGACUUGGAGAAAAAAAGAUCCUUCAGAUAUAGAUAUAGAUACUCACACACAUAUAUCAUCUUUGUAAGAAUCUGACACUUUUAAUCCCAAUAAUAGUCCAACUCAUGCACAGGUAAAAUAUGCAGAUUUCAGAUUUAUUGAGAAGGUGUACAGACCAAGGGAAAAAGCUGCGAUUGAAGAUUCCCACCUAAACAUCCUAAUUAAAAUCAAGCAAUUACCCCACUCCCCACCCCCCACUCUUCCCGCCUAGUUCCAACUGCCAGGCAUGUCAAGCACAGAUGUCUUCUGAUGGUACGACCUUGACUUUCCCAACUAGCCCAAACAACAUACUUCCACACUGCUUGAUGUUUCCCCCUCUCCACUGGUUCUUGACACAUGGACUCAACAUGGCAGAUGAACAUGGUCAAACUAUUCAUCAAUCAUUUGAACAUGGAUUCUGACAAUCAUAUUUUUAUUUGUUUAAAAUAUUUAUAUACCAGUUGGCAGAUUCUUAACUGUCUUUUCCCAUGAAUGUGCUGCAGCUGUGGAGGGUAGCCAGGUGAUCCCAGGAAAAGAAAUAGCUCCUUUAAGGAGUUGCUGAUAAGUAACUGAUAAGUAGUUCCCUUUCUCCACGUGCACCAAAGCUCCCUUUCCCCUUUGAAUCCAAAGCAUGGCCCAGUCCUGAUGCUAAGAUCUUAAAAAGAUAAGUAAUAGAAGUUCACCAACUUUAAACAUUAUUGUGAUAGAAAAACAAAAGUUUAAUUUAUGUUGUAAAUUUACAUAGAGUUGGAUUUAUAUCGGCAGAUUGUACAUGGCCUCCAGUAAAAAUCUUGACAUACCUCAUUUGGUAUCAGAUGGUUUCUGAUCCAUCUUUAAAGUUUUGAGCCAGUCUGGUCUAGUGGUUAAGGUGCUGGGCUAGAAACCAGGAGUCUGUGAGUUCUAGUCCCACCUUAGGCAUGAAAGCCGGCUGGGUGACCUUGGGCCAGUCCCUCUCUCUCAGCCCAACUCACCACACAGGGUUGUUGUGGGGAAAAUAGGAGGAGGAAGAAAUAUUAGGUAUUUUAGCCACCUUGAGUUAUUCAUAAAAAUAAUAAAGGUGGGAUAAAAAUUAAAUAAAUAAAUAGAUGAGAAAGACAUAAUUAAUCAAGUCCAGUUAGAAUUUAUUAGGAAAGGUGUUAGCAAUCUAGUGAAGUUUUUUCUUUUGAAUUCUUGGCAACCACAUUUUUGGUUUUGCUUAUUUAAUGCUAAUUUACCUUACAGAGUUCCUUGUUUUAACUCUAAUAAUCUACUGUGUUUUUUUCUUUCAAAAUACUCAAGACUCAACUAUCUUUGUCCAUAAACCUUUUCACAAUAACUUUAAGGAGAGAAAAAGGGACACUUGUAAUGUUAAUAGAAGUGGUUUUGUAAACUUUGAAGUCUAGUAUAUCUGACUGAAUUGCGUUUUACUAGCUGAAUAUAAAAACACAUGUGUUGAAUGAAAUGUGUGAAAUUGGUCUAAAAGUAUAUAUUUUUGUAUUGCUGAAGCAAUAUUUUUUUCAAAUGUGUUUUUAAUCUUUUCAGCUUGCUGCUAAACUUUUGUGUGCCUGGCAGAAACAUUCAAAAUGUUUUUUAAAAAAUGCAAACAUAGGAUGAAGGGUUAUCUACGCUCAGUCUAUUUCUGGAUUAAAGGCAUAAAACAAAUUAUUUACUCCCAGCCUAUUUUGAGUCUACUGUUUGUACUGAUAUUAAAGAUAAAUUAAAUUGCUAAAGGUUAUUGACAAGUAAAUGGAAAGAUCUUAAUUUUUAAAGACAUCCUCAGUUCUUUUUUGCAUGGCAGAUUUCAAAAAUAGAAUGCAAAAUAUACUUGAAUGAUAAAGUCGUAUUAAUGCAUGUAGUAGUAGAUUUUCAUCACUGGCUAAUAUACACCUUUAAUUAGGAAAAAAAGCUUUUCUGUUAUAGCAAAAAUAAUAAUUGUUAGCAAUAUAUUUGAGAAUGAAGCAAAAAGUCUACACUUUAUAAAUAGUACAUGUAUUUUUUAAAUAAAUACUACAUGUUGAAGGCUAGGGGGCACUCUGUUUACAUAACUGAAAAUAAUUUAAUUUUCUUGUAUGUAUCGAUUUGUCAUCAGACCACUGAAAUCUAACAAAUGUCUUGCUAUGCAAAAUACUAUGCACAUUCCUACAAAGGACUCCUUUAAAAACUGUUUUUAUCUAAGCCAACGUAUUGCUCUCAGGGAUCCAUCAUUGUUUAUGAUCACGAUCACAAAAUCAUUAACGGAACUCAUACUAUUAUCUAAUAGCAAAGUCUACAACUUUCACCUGCAUUAUACCAUGUACAGUACUUUUCAUUAAUUAGUGAAAGAAGUUAAUGAAAGAAGUUCAGGACAGAAAAACAAUUUGGUGAAUAAUAGAAAAACAUUUCAUCCUGGAAAGAGCCUACAACUACUUUCCUUUUUGAAAAAUAAAAGUUUUCCAAUUAAUUUUAACAGUUUUAUUGUUCACAGUCUCCAGAUUACCACAAACCUGUCUUUCUAUCUUACCAGCUGCUUCCAAUAUUUUAUUCCUUUUUCCUGCUUUUUCCAUAUAAUCCAUAUGGAAACUUUUUCCAUAUUUUUGGAUGUUCAUAUUAAAAUCUUAGUUUUGGAGCUGCACAGAAUGGUUACCAGCAUGCAGGUUGAUGCAGUUGUUGAAUUAAAAAGAAGGAAAACAAAAUGUGCAUGUUCAUGUUUUGAGGGGAAAUGACACAAAUUUAACAGUCAAGAGAAUUGCUGUCUAAUCUGCAAGAUUAUAUGGAUAGUCCAUAUGUUUUCUGACUAAAUUUACCACAGGGUGCUUUCUUGCUUGUUUGCAAUAGAUUAAGAUGGUUACCUCUCUUCUGAUUAAAAAGAUUUCCUUGUACCCUUACAGUUCUCUUUAGCGUUCUGUGUUUUCAUUCCACCUAACCGUAAGAAAACUCCAUAGUUGUCAACAUUUGGCAAUAAAGAUUAGUUACUUAUGUUGUAAUACCCUUUAAAUAUUUUUUUGAUUUUAAUGUAAAAAUCUAAGUGUAUGUUAUAAAAUUUUUCUACUUGUUAACAUAUUGUACGAUUUCUUUCCUUCUUUCUAUUUUAUCUAGUACAGUAAUGCUUUCAACAUCCAACUUAACAGAACUGUGGCAUACUUAGAACAUAAAGUUGAAAUAUAAACUGCAAUCUGAGAGAUUAAAUAUUUAAUUAAAAUCUCAGAGAGAAA